GGGCUUGACAUCCCACGAACCUGCCCGAAAAGGUGGGGUGCCCGCAAGGGAGCGUGGAGACAGGUGGUGCAUGGCUGUCGCCAGCUCGUGUCGUGAGAUGUUGGGUUAAGUCCCGCAACGAGCGCAACCCUCACCCCUAGUUGCCACCGGGUUAAGCCGAGCACUCAAGGGGAACUGCCAGCGUCAAGCUGGAGGAAGGCGGGGAUGACGUCAAGUCAUCAUGCCCCUUACGCCCUGGGCUACACACGUGCUACAAUGGCCAGUACAAAGGGACGCGAGACUGCGAAGUGGAGCUAAUCCCAAAAAGCUGGUCUAAGUUCAGAUUGCAGUCUGCAACUCGACUGCAUGAAGGAGGAAUCGCUAGUAAUCGCGUAUCAGCCCGGCGCGGUGUAUACGUUCCCGGGCCUUGUACACACCGCCCGUCACACCACGAAAGCUGUCUGUACUCGAAGUCGCUGAG
rnacentral:rRNA from 1 species